CCUUGUACACACCGCCCGUCACAUCAUGAAAGCCGUUUGUACCCGAAGUCACUGUAUUAACCGCAAGGAAAAAGGUGCCGAAGGGAUGGAUGGUAAUUGGGAUG
rnacentral:rRNA from 1 species